GGCAGUCACGGUCAUAAAAGUGGUUUUUGCUAAUACCCAUGACUCCUCACUUGGAUGUACAGAUGCCCAAUAGCUUUCACUUGUGAACUCAUCCUGUUGCGACUUCCAUUAUCACCAACGCAAGGACCCCCGCUAGUUGGUGACAGCUUCACUGUACAAGGGAUGAGUGUUCAAUUGAUUUUUGUAUAUUGAUC
rnacentral:lncRNA from 1 species